GGAUCCAGACUUUGAUCAUGGCUCAGGACGAACGCUGGCGGCAUGCCUAACACAUGCAAGUCGAACGAGAAGCAUUCUUCGGAAUGUGGAAAGUGGCGCACGGGUGAGUAAUACAUGGGAAUCUACCUUACACUGGGGGAUAACAGUUAGAAAUGACUGCUAAUACCGCAUACGCCAUAUUGGGAAAGCUCCGGCGGUGUAAGAUGAGCCCAUGCUAGAUUAGCUAGUUGGUGAGGUAAAAGCUCACCAAGGCAACGAUCUAUAGCGGGUUUGAGAGGAUGAUCCGCCACACUGGUACUGAGACACGGACCAGACUCCUUACGGGAGGCAGCAGUGGGGGAAUAUUGCGCAAUGGGGGCNACCCUGACCCAGCAUUGCCGCGUGAGUGAUGACGGUCNUUAGGAUUGUAAAGCUCUUUUAGCAGGGAAAAAAUGACGGUACCUGCAAAAAAGUCCGGCUAAUUCGGGCCACCGCCGCGUAUA
rnacentral:rRNA from 1 species